GGAUGUGAGGGCGAUCUGGCUGCAACAUCUGUCACCCGAUUGAUCGCCAGGGUUAAUUCGGCUGAUCUGGCUGGCUAGGCAGGUGUCCCCCUCCUCCCUCACCAAUCCAUGUGCAUCCCUCCCGAAGCUGCGGGCUCGGUCAAAGAGGACGACUUUCCCCUCCUCGAGGAGAGGACCGGUCUUCGGUCAAGGGUAUAUGAGUAGCUGCGCUCCCAUGCUAGAACCUCCAAACAAGCUCAAAAUAAGAAUUAGCACCUCCACUUUAUGUAUGAGGACCCCCUUCGGCACCGGGAAAGGAGAGACCAGGGUUCUAGUUCUGGUUCUGCCAUCGUGUCUCACCUU
rnacentral:snRNA from 1 species